CUACGGGAGGCUGCAGUGAGGAAUAUUGCACAAUGGGGGGAACCCUGAUGCAGCAACGCCGCGUGGAGGAUGACGCAUUUCGGUGUGUAAACUCCUUUUAUAUGUCAAGAAAAUGACGGUAGCAUAUGAAUAAGCACCGGCUAACUCCGUGCCAGCGGCCGCGGUAAUACGGAGGGUGCAAGCGUUACUCGGAAUCACUCGGCGUAAAGGACGCGUAGGCGGGUUGGAAAGUCAGGUGUGAAAUCCUACAGCUUAACUGUAGAACUGCACUUGAAACUUCUAAUCUAGAGUAUGGGAGGGGGAGAUGGAAUUAGUGGUGUAGGGGUAAAAUCCGUAGAUAUCACUAGGAAUACCUAAAGCGAAGGCGAUCUCCUGGAACAUUACUGACGCUAAGGCGUGAAAGCGUGGGGAGCAACAGGAUUAGAUACCCUUGUAGUC
rnacentral:rRNA from 1 species